ensembl:lncRNA
CCCAGGACCCCCAGUUAUAUGUAGUCAACAGAAAACUGGAAACAGCACAAGAUGGAGCUGUUCCUUUUUACAGGAAACAAACAAGAUGCGGAAAAAUCCAGACUUAGAAACCGAGGAGGGUGUCUGCUGGGAAAACUCAGCAGAAGCCCAUGGGUUCCAGGCCCACAGACAAGACACAACACAGACGGGAACCAGGAAGUGAGCACGUGCCCAGAUCACACCUGCCCGGGCAGGUAUAUAGCGGCUCCUGGCCCAGGAGGCCCCACACUGAGCUCCUUCUCUCUCUCUCCACCUGCUCCUCUGACCUGCUCCACCCUCCACCCACCAGAACCAUGGGCUGCUCUGGCUGUUCCGGAGGCUGCGGCUCCAGCUGCUGCGUGCCCGUCUGCUCCUGUGUGCCUGUCUGCUCCUGCUCCGGCUGCGGCAAAGGGGGCUGUGGCUCCUGUGGGGGGUCCAAGGGGGGCUGUGGCUCCUGUGGCUGCUCCCAGUCCAGCUGCUGCAGACCCUGCGGCUCGUGUGGGGGCUCCAAGGGGAGCUGUGGCUCCUGUGGGGGGUCUAAGGGGGGCUGCGGCUCCAGCUGCUGUGUGCCCGUCUGCUGCUGUGUGCCAGCCUGCUCCUGCUCCGGCUGUGGCAAAGGUGGGUGUGGCUCCUGUGGCUGCUCCCAGUCCAGCUGCUGUGUCCCCGUUUGCUGCUCCCAGUCCAGCUGCUGCAAGCCCUGUUGCUCCCAGUCCAGCUGCUGUGUCCCUGUUUGCUGCUCCCAGUCCAGCUGCUGCAAACCCAGCUGCUCCCAGUCCAGCUGCUGCGUCCCCAUUUGCUGCCAGUGCAAGAUCUAAUUUUCGGUUUUACAGGGAUUCUUACUAG